UUUCCCCGGGGAGCCCCCAAAAAUAUCAUUUGGGUUUCCCCCAAAUCCUCCCUAACCCCCAUUCCGGAACCCGUUCAAUCCACCAAGAAUUUAGGGUACGGCCAAAUGGGGGAACAUGUGCUAAAUUUACGGCCCAAAUCCCUUCCAGGUUUUUCCAUCCCGUUGCCACUGAAAAAAAGUUUCCCAUUGGGGCCCGUGCCAGAUGGCAUGGUAGUCGUCAGCUCGUCCCGUAGAUGAAGGUUAAGUCCGAACCAUUGCAACCCUUGAUGUUAGUCAUCAGCAGUUGGCCUCUAGGGAUUCCCGGUGACAACUGAGAAAGGUUGGGAUCACGUCAAAUCAUCAAGCCCGUAUGUCGUCUAGCACGGUGCUACAAUGGGCGAUACGGGGUUGCACCUGCGAGAGGGAGAUAAUCCCGAUAGAGUCGUUCUAGUUCGAUUGUAGGCUGUCUUUCAGUCAAUGAACUGAAGUCGAUAGUAUUAUGGGUUACAUCCCGGGGUGAAGAAGUUUCGGGCCUUGACGGUACGCGCGUCACGCGUGAAGUUUGUAACACGCGAAGUCGAGGAGUAACGCUUUGGAUCACUUGCAUGUAUUACAC
rnacentral:rRNA from 1 species